rnacentral:rRNA from 1 species
UACGUAGGGGGCAAGCGUUGUCCGGAUUUAUUGGGCGUAAAGAGCGUGUAGGCGGCCAUGCAGGUCCGUUGUGAAAACUCGAGGCUCAACCUCGAGACGUCGAUGGAAACCGCAUGGCUAGAGUCCGGAAGAGGAGAGUGGAAUUCCUGGUGUAGCGGUGAAAUGCGCAGAUAUCAGGAGGAACACCGGUGGCGAAGGCGGUUCUCUGGGCAGUAACUGACGCUGAGGAGCGAAAGCGUGGGGAGCGAACAGG